GUCCUCUUUCCAGACAUUGGGCUGAUGUCCUGUUUCUCACUGGAGUCCAGUAGGGUGUCCUUUGGUGCUGGCAUCUGUUGCUGCUGCGUCUAGUGCUGAGACAGGGUCUCACUUUGUUACCCAGGCUGGAGUGCAGUGGCACAAUCAAGACCCACUGCAGCCGCAACCUCCUGUGCUCAAGCAAUCCUUCUACAUCAGCCUUGCAAGUAGCUAGGGCCACAGGCACGUGCCACCAUGCCCAGCUAACAACGAACACCUUUCAAUAUAAACUGCACUUGCAUUUUUAGUAUAAACUCGAUUUCGUCAUAAUUUAUAAUACUUUGUAGUUUUUACUUCUAAUAUUCUUUUGGGGAUUUUAGCUACUAUGUUCAUGACUAAGAUUAAUCUGGAAACCUCUUCCCUUAUGGUGUCAAUUUACAGUUUUGGCAUAACAAUUAUACCAAUAUAAUUAUUUAGGAAAUUUUACCUCUUUUACUAUCAUCAGAAUUAUUCUAUUUAAUCUUUUACACCGUAAGGUUAGCUUUAUAAUUUUUAGCCAAUGAUAUUUUAGUUAUCAGUCCCAGUUGGCUCUAUGCAUAUUCUAAUUGCUACUAACAUUUAUUCUUUGAUUUGUGAGUUAUUUAGAAGUGUGUUUUUAAAUUCCCCAAUACAUAUGACUUUAUUAGUUGCUUUAUGAUUAUUUUACUUACAAUUUGGUUAGAAAAUGUAUUUUAUAUGAUUAUGAUUCUUUAAUACUUAUUAUAACUGGUUUUGUAACUAGUAAAAUGGUUAACUUUUAAAAAAAGAAAAAAAAUCAUUUCUGGAUUUAGAGUUCUCUAUAAUUUCAUUAGAUCGGCCUUCUUAAUUACAUUGCUUAAAUGUGUUGUAUUCCUACAGACAUUUUGGGACUAAUAACCUGUAAAUUACUAAAAGAGGUACAUUAAAAAUUGCCUAGCAGAAUACGUAUACAGUGCUGGUGGAAAUGCAAAUGAGUUUGGCCACUGUGAAAAGAAGGUUAGAGAUUUCUCAAAGAACUUAAAACAGAACUACCAAUUAACUCAGCAAUGAACACAUGUUCAUU
rnacentral:lncRNA from 13 species